AAGGGUGUAGCUCAAAGUGUAGAGCAUGUGCUUAGCGUGUACAAGGUCCUGGGUUCAAUCCCCAGCACCUCCU
rnacentral:tRNA from 1 species